GCGACCGGCCGCGGGCGCUCCCGAGAGGCUCUGCGCGGCUCCGAAGCUUCUGCCGUCGCGGAGAUAAACAAGCACCGCGACUGCCCAGCAGCGCCGAACCCUGCGCGCCCAGUCAGACCCCAGGGCCUACGUACCGAGCAUGCGCAGUUCCCGCCCGAGCUGGGAGCAGUCAACCUGAGACUCCCACGUUCAGAAUUCGGCGGAGAUGCGAUGGUAGAGGGGCCAGAGCUACCUCCAAGCUUUACCCUGAGGCGAGGAGUGAAGGGGAGAGAUGCCCAAGGCCCAAGAGGGACCGCGAGGGCCUUUGCCCGAUGCCACCCAGUCUGUCAGCACUUCUAGAGCUUUGGUUUUAUCUUGUAUUAGCAUGUGUAGCUUUAAGGGGACGGGCACCUACAGGCUUCUGCCUGAAGUUGUGUAAACGCAACAAAACGAAGCUUUCGAGUGUUAGGACAUUGAUAGGAGGGUGACAGCCCCCUCCGGCAGCGCGCCACAGGGGCGAGCCAGAGGCGGCCACACACCACGGAAGUUGGGUCCAAGCCUGCUGACGUCGCCAGGGUCCCGCCCACCAAUCCUCUGGACCCGCCCACAUUUCUUCUAGAUCCGCCCCUUUCAGUGCCGAACUGCAGUCGAGCUCUGUCCACGCCCUGUCAGCCACUGGUGAAUUGAAAACCUGGAGAGCGGAACCCCGACCGGCAGCCGGAAGGCCCCGGGACACCUCAUAGCAACAGCCGGCUAGGGGCAUCUAGUGGGAAGCUGGGAUUCAUUCUAGCCAACCACGUCAUGUCUCUGCACCCCAUGGUACCAUUCACUACCAAUAAGAGAGCCUCCCCAUACCACGUGACUUUCCUCUUUCAACCAAUCGGGAAAAAAAUCUGUCGCGGGAUCCGCAAGCACACCCCCCCAGUGCCUCGCCAGGCGGGGCGGUUCGCGCACGCUUUGCCAACCAAUCGUAGGUGAGCUGGCGUGUGACGGAAGCUUCGACCAAGCCAACCAGAGCUCGCGAGCCCCUUGCCACAGAGGCUGGCGGGAUGGAGAUAGGGCCCGGCUGCGGGCGUUUGGGAGGGGCAGAGAUUGAGGAGCCAGUUGCUGUGCUCUGUUCUGGCAAAAGAACAAGAUGGGUUGCAAGCCAGAAUGAUGAAUUCCACUUUUAACGUCGUCUCCGUGGCAUUCUGCCUAAAUGAUGGGCAUGGAAAUGGUGCUGAGGGAUGUGGGCUGAAUCGAGAACACAGGGACUUUUGUCUUCAGGGUCCCUAGAUGUUGAGAAGCUCUGGACUGAAGCUGUCACAAAAAUAACUUGCAUCAAGAGCUGCUACAGGAUUUCUCUUCAUCAUUUAAGUGCAAUCUAGCAGCAACUACUACAUCUGAUAAACUGCAAAACACAGAAUAUAGGAUUCUUGAAGCUACUGUCAGGCAAACUUCUCCUACUUCGGAAAGUCUUCUUUCUCCAUAUCCUUCGUAACCACCACCUGGUGCACAUGCUGGAGGCAUAAUUCAUUGUCCCCUCUCCUUCACUCUUGAAUAGCUUUGCCCAGACCUUCAGGUACUGUUUCAUCCUCUGCAUAAUAUUUGGUUUUCACAUCAUUAUGAACUCUUUUGUAUUCUCAUUACUGGCUCUGGAACCCAGAACAUAGUACGGGUUCAAGGUAUGUUUGCUGAAUUGAAUGGAAUAAAUUUUGUUGUGCUUAUGCAGAUAUAGAUGCCACUAAACACUGAUCAAUGUUUCACCAAGUCAUGUGACAAUCUGAUGUAACAUUUACACAUUUCUCAUCAUUAGGCCAUAUCUGGACACUGUCCCCUGUUCUACUUAUUCUGUACUUUCAAUGUAAUGAAAUAAAUCAAGGAAGGAUUCUGUGGGUUGCCUUUGUUCUGAUCAGUUGAAGCAUUUCACUAAGGCACCAAUUCUAUGAACAAAGACUUCUCAAAUGUUUUCUGCUUCAGUUGCACAAAUAUUUCAGCUGUCAUAUCUGUGAGCCAGAAUUAUCUGGGUAGUUCCGUUAAUUAUGUAUUCCACUUUGCAGUGUAGACACAGCCUCAGUUUUUCCAUCUGCAAAAUGCAAAUAACCAUGCCUGCCACUGACAGAACUGCAACAUCUUGAAGAAUAAUGAGAUAAUGUCUAUAAGAACAUUUACAGUAACUUAGAAUAAACCUGUCAGAGAAAUGCCAAGAAUUAUUAUGCUGCUAUUUUUGUAAGUGUGUGUGGUUUUGCCACUUUCCUAACAUAGAAAAGAAAAAGUCUAACUACUUGGUUAAAAUAAUCCCAAUCAAAAAAGAAAAAAAAAAAAAGAAAACUUCCACCCGCGGCAAAUGUACUAGGGCAUCAACUAGGGCAAUAAUGAUCUUAGCAUGGUUUGGGAGAAGACUCUCAUAUUUUGCAUAACAUUUUAUAUUAAUAUCUUUGCAAACUGGAGGCAGAAUUCCCAAAAUCCAAAUUCACAUUGUGUCAAUGGGAGAAUUUUAGUAUCAUAUCAAAAGCUUUAACUAUGAAUGGUUUUUGAUCAAGGGCAACCUUCAGGAAAACACAAAAUACUUUUUUGUUUUAUAUUUAUGUUUAUGUAAAACAUUUAUAGAAAAAUCAAAAUCUGUUCAUUUAAAAGUAGUGGGUCCUCUAUGUACCAAGUUGUAAGAAUUAUUUUUGAACAUCUUCACUUGAUUUGCAGAGGUUUCAAAUCAACAAUGAUGAACAAUGAGUGAUUAUCAUCUUUAUCAUUUUAGAAAUAAAGUUGAAAAUGUGGCUUAUAAGAAAGAAAAUCAGAAGCAAAACCUUGAGCUAUAAUGAACAAUAAAAUUCCUGGUACGGGUUUAAGUGGGUUAAAGAUUAUUUUAAUUUCCUUUUAAUAAAAUUAUUUUCUCUUUCCUCAUUUAAGAGAAAUGUGAAAAUUCUUAGCAGUUGAAAUACCAUUUCAGAACACUAGAUCCACAUGUUUGUUCACUCUGAUAUUCAUGUCUUGUAAGAAAUGGAAACCCUUCUAGUCACUGUAUUGGUGUGCCAGGACCCACUUUUUGGCUUCCAAAGCCCACUGUAUUGAGGGUUGCCAGACACACUUAAGCUGUUCCUAAAGAAUCCACCAGAGGGCGGAAGUACACAACCACAGCAGCCAAUGCAGCCGCAUGGGUCCUUCACGCAAUACAUUUCAUCAACAAAAAUCAGGUCAUUGCAUAAGGGAUGUUGUUUAUCCUUGCUUUGGAAAUGUUUAAAAGGCUUCCAGGUGAAAUAUUUUAAACUGAUGAUUCUUUCAGUGAUUUAACAAAUCAGUCAUUAUUGGGUUGGAGAAUUAAACAUGUGCUGGAGGGCUUCCGGGUCUUUUGGCAGGCUUAGCACCAGAGCUCCAUAGGUAUUCCCAGGACAUGGUAAUGGCAGUAACAUCCAUUCUUCAGAAACAGGCUUCUCCUUUUACAUUUUUCCCCUCGGUAUAUUCUUCCUUAAUUUUUUUUUUUUAUCAUAAAAUAUCUAGUGGCCAAGAGGUCUAUAAUGAGACACUUUGUAGAAACCACACAGGACAUUAACGUAAGUUUACCUUCUAGUAAUUAUUUUACAAAUGUGUUAUCUCAAGUAGAUUACAUGUUAAAACACUGCUAUGCUGUAACAGCACUGGGAUGUCACUAAUUAAAGCUGUAAUAGGGCAAGAGUGAACCCCUAAUAAAUACUGCAUUAGAGAUUUCUUCUACAAGUCUGUGAAUUUAAGAUAGGUUCAAAACUAAAAUAAGAAAAGUAAACACUGAAAAACCACUUUGCUCACAUAAUUUAUAUCUUAACUAAAAUAUGUAUUGUUCACAGGUUACUAAUCCAUUUCAAAGUGUAGAUUUUAUACAAAGAAUAUCACAGAAAUAUUUUACCUCCCUCUGAUGUUAACUCUGAUAAGCUAUGGGAUUUAAGGAAAUGGAUAAUAAGCUGGAAAAGUUCAAACUUAUGGAUUUGAAUCAAAAACCUCUUUUUGUUAGAAUUGUUAUUCAUUUAUAUUUACCUUCAUUUCACUGUUGUGGGCUGAAGAAUUUUGACUCACAAAGAACUCAAUGGAUGGUCUUCCCACCAGGGCUUACGUUAUCCCCUGCUUCUAACAUUGACUAUAAGGUGAAAACCGAAGUCAAUUACAGUGACUAUCUUUGCAUAUGGUGUGCGUGUGUGUAUCUGUGGUUAGAGAUGUCGGUGCAAAUAGGGGAGGGAUGACAUGCUUUAUACUUUUGUUUUUUUACUUUUAUCUGACUUUUUGGGGUCAUUUAUUCAAAAAUUCACUUUUAUCUGCUCUUUUCUUUUUUCAGGAGAACUCUGUGGUAUGUGUAUAUAGAGGCAGGUCUGGGUGGUAGAAUGUGAUGUAAAUGGAGUUGGUCACAGGGAAACUCAGUUCUUUUUCUCAUUAGUUGUGGCACCUUGGAAAGUCACUUCUCAUUUAGGGGGCCUCAGUUUUCUCAUCUGUAAAACAAUCAUCUGGAUGAGGAGAUCACUAAGAGUCCUUUAAACUCUAAGAUUCUAUGACUAUUACAAUGGAUCUUUUAGUGGAAUCAUAGUUAAUGCACAUGGUACGUAAUAGUAUCAGGCAUUGGCUUAGACACUGAGGAUAAGAGCUCUAUAUACUUGUGAACUUGGUGAAAGUUGAGAAGGAUGGAGAAAGAGAUAGAAUGGAUAUAAAAAUAUGAGUAGAGAAUUGCUUUAAUUUGAAUAGUCUCAUUGUUUUAGUGCUCUGAAUAGAAAUAGAAAAAAAUGGUUAGUAUUUACUGGAAUUGCUAUUUUUUAGGUCAUUCACAGUUAACGACAAAUUUCAACUGUCACACAUAAAAGGUCUUAUUUACAUAAACAAUUUGACAGGGCUUGUGUGACUACGAGAAACCAAAAGCCCUAACUGCUCUCUGUUUCUCAUGGGUUAAAUCUGUCUUUUCAAUCUACCAAAUAUUUGGCUUUAGAAUCCUAACAGUCUUUAGCUAUCAUUCAAAGUAAGGUAAAUACAUUUAGAUAGCUAGGACAACGAUGAAUUUCAAACUGUAUUAUACCUUCAAAAGCAAACUAGAUGCCACCAAACAGCUUAAAGAAAUGAGAAGAAAGCACAUGACCAGAAGGGCACAGGACAUAGGGCAGUAAGGGCACAUACCUGUUGGAAUGAACGCGGCGUGUUGCUGCAACUGUGCGCUGGUGAGAGCCUGCUGGUAGUGCAAGACGCUGGGGUUAAAGACCGCACUGGUACCAUUGCUUUUUUCAAGUGCUUGUCUCUUUGGUAAAGGAUGAAGAGCACCAGGGGGAAAGGCCUAGAAAUGAAGAAUUCGAUAAGAUAUGUCUAACUUAAAGCAAACACAACUUCCGUGUUCAUAGAGAUCAUCAAUUGCAACAUUCUUUUUAAAAAUGACAGCUAAGGAGAUGCCUCUGCCAUGCACCUUAAUUUAAACAGCGGCAAUGUCGAAUGAGUGAGAAUUUGUUAUUGAGAGCGAAAGCAUGAUUUCUGUAACCCAAAACGGUAGCAUCUCAACUAAGGAAAAGAAAAACUAUCAAGCAACAACAACAACAAAAAAAUGGCUUCAGCUUUUAAAAUGAGUUAAACUAUUCUAAGGGGGAGGAAGCAUUGGUGUUAUUAUUAAUACCUAUUCUUUUAUUUAACUAAAUGGCAAUUUCUUGAAUUUAAAGGUUAAUAAGAAUUAUAAUGAACAUUUUCUGAGUCAAAUAAUUUAAAUUUGCUUCACUCUUUUGGAAAAGGUAUUAAAAUUUGUUAGGAUUAAUUUAUUUCACAGAUUACGUAUGAGAAUGAGAUGGCUAAACACCUUAUUGGAUUUUUUCCAUAAAUUAAUAAUAAUGAUUGUUCGCAACCAAUAUUUUACAAGUAAUACAAAUCUCAGAUGGUUCUCUGAAAAGCUACAUGCAAAGCGAAAGGUGAAAGGUCAAAGUACCAGGUCUACAGUUGCUUCGAGAGGUCGCUUCAUUGCUUUGGCAGUCGACUGAGUCUUUUAAUAACAGGCAGCGAGCACAUGAUGGCAGUGGGCCAAUGGGAUUCAAGCGAAUUAACAUACAGGUAAACAGCAAGCAGAGGUGCAUCAUGGGAACGGCAUUGCAUUGUGGAUAGGUGAGAAGGAAAAAAAUAUUCUGAAUGCAAUAUACAACGUACAAAACACUAGGCAUGCACAACAACAAAAAUGUUCUCUAAAGAAAUGAAUAUUACACCUUAAAUUAGUAUUGAAGCAAAAAUGCAUCUACUAUACCUUAGUUAAAAGCAUAUAAGAGAGUAAAAUAUAGAUGUUUGAAAUUCAGGAAAGUUAAUUAAAACAGCAGCUUGCAUACACACCAUAAGCAUUUUUUAUAUUGCUUCAGAAAAAAAUGCAAAAUUUGUAAGGGCCAUAGGAUCGAAGAACUUCUGAUAAGUUAGUUUUCAAAUAUGAAACAAUGAAUCCAUUGAGUAAGGAUAAGACCCAAGUUGAAAUUUUUCAUAAAAAUAAUUUAAAAUUCAUAGCUAGCCUAACAAAAUGAAGUGGCGAACUGAGACAAAAAAUUCAGGCAAAAAAAUAUUCAAACACAAGAUUAUUUAGGCGAAACUGUUGGGUUUGGAUCUUUAUUUUUUGUCUGAAUCAUGUGGAUAAUUGUCUCAAUUCUUGUCUUCACUCUGCUAGUGUGAGUCUUGUCAUGUGGACUAAAGUUCCAAAUUUAGUGUCUUGAAUUUAAAUAGUGAGUUUCCAGAAUUCCCCACUUUUAUUCCAUCAUCCUGUUUCUAACAACCAACUUAUCAUCCAUUCUGUUUUCUACUACAUUUGAAAUGUUCAUUUCAUUUAUCUCAAACAACUUACCGGAUUAUACUAAGAAAAUACCCUUUAAAAGGUAUUUAGUGUCCCCCGGUAUCAAAAUAAUUUCUAUUUAGUAAUUCUAUUUGUACUUUUAGCUACAGUCAGUGAGCAACCCCAUUAAUGAAAAGUGGAACUCUUGGAAAGAACACAUACAACAGCUAAAAAUAGCAAACAGCUAAAAAUAAUAGCAAAGAACUGCUUGAAAGAUUAGAAGUAAAAUAAUAUCUUUAACUUAGAACCAUAAUUUUGGGAAGACAGUUUCAUUUAAACAACUGAAAUAAAAACAAAUAUGGAUUGAUUUAGACCACGAUGAAAAAUUUUCCUAUUCUUUGUUAAUUGUUGUAAAAAAAAAAACAAAAUUAAAAAUUCUAUGAUGGAAUUCUAUGCAAAUAAAUAAUUCAAAGGAAUUGCUCCAAUGCAAAUAAAAAAUGAAAUACCCUUUUCUAUGUUUAGCACAAUAGGUAAAUCCCUAAGGUUUGUCUAAUAAAUACAAAUAUUAUAUUCCAAAGUUUUGAAAUAGAACUUUGUCAUUUGACAUGAGAUAGUACUAAACCUUUAAAAUGGGAAACAGUUAAUGACAUUUUCCUGGAUAAAGGAUGUUUAUUAUUGUUUUAUAAUUCAGGAUAAAAAGUAUGGAGAUAAUAGGGGAGAGCUGUGGAGGGGAAGAGACUAGAAAUAAAGUAGAAAGAACUACAGGCAGAGAAGAGAUUUAGAAUGGCCAAUGGAGAAGAAAAUGUUUUGGAAGGUAGUUUUGAUCAGGGUCAUCGAAUAACAUGAAAUCAAUGUUGUGAAAGUACAAUUGUGAACAUUAAAAACAAUGAGCUGACAAAA